rnacentral:rRNA from 1 species
CCCUUAGAUGUUCUGGGCCGCACACGCGCUACACUGAAGGAGGCAGCGUGUACUCCUGGAUCGAAAGAUUCGGGUAACCCGCGAAUCUCCUUCGUGCUAGGGAUUGAGGUUUGCAAUUAUCCUUCAUGAACGAGGAAUUCCCAGUAAGUGCAAGUCAUAAGCUUGCGCUGACUACGUCCCUGCCCUUUGUACACACCGCCCGUCGCUACUACCGAUUGAAUGAUUUAGUGAGGACUUCGGACUGGGACCGAUGCGGCUUUCGGGCUGCGUCGGUAUUCUGGAAAGAUGUCCAAACUGUAUCAUUUAGAGGAAGUAAAAGUCGUAACA